UUAGUACUCCCUCCGUUCCAAAAUUCCUGUCCUUAAUUUGUCUAGAUAUAAAUAUAUCUAGUCAUGUAUUAGUAUUUAGAUACAUUCAUUUUUCUAGAUAAAACUAAGACGAGAAUUUUGAGACAAAGUGAGUACUAA
rfam:Hordeum vulgare subsp. vulgare, WGS project CAJW01000000 data, contig: morex_contig_1593831